rnacentral:rRNA from 1 species
CCUACGGGGGGCAGCAGUAGGGAAUUUUGCGCAAUGGGCGAAAGCCUGACGCAGCAACGCCGCGUGAUCGAGACGCCCUUCGGGGUGUAAAGAUCUGUCAGUGGGGACGAAACUUGACGGUACCCACAGAGGACGCACCGGCUCACUCCGGGCCAGCAGCCGCGGUAAUACGGGGGGUGCAAGCGUUGUCCGGAUUCAUUGGGCGUAAAGCGUUCGUAGGCGGCACGUAAGGUCAGGAGUUAAAGGCAGAGGCUCAACUUCUGUACGGCACUGGAUACUUGCGAGCUAGAAUGCGGUAGAGGUAGAGGGAAUGUCUGGUGUAGCGGUGAAAUGCUUAGAUAUCAGAAGGAACACCGGUGGCGUAAGCACUUUACUAGGCCGUAAUUGACGCUGAGGAACGAAAGCCAGGGUAGCAAAUGGGAUUAGAUACCCCAGUAGUC